UACGUAGGUGGCAAGCGUUGUCCGGAUUUACUGGGCGUAAAGAGCGCGUAGGCGGUAGUUCAAGUCGCGUGUGAAAGCCCCCGGCUCAACUGGGGAGGGUCACGCGAUACUGAUCGACUCGAAGGCAGGAGAGGGUAGUGGAAUUCCCGGUGUAGUGGUGAAAUGCGUAGAUAUCGGGAGGAACACCAGUGGCGAAGGCGACUACCUGGCCUGUUCUUGACGCUGAGGCGCGAAAGCUAGGGGAGCAAACGGG
rnacentral:rRNA from 1 species